rnacentral:lncRNA from 1 species
UAGGGGACACACAAACCUCAGUUCCAUUUAUAGUAACCCAACUUUAUUAUGACUCGGAUAGGAUACAAAAGCAUCAAAAGCUAUCUAGUGGGAUGACACCAUAAUAAUACAUGCGCAUUCAAGAUCUCUGCCUUUCAUUUAGUAGCUCUAGGAAUAGAAAUGAGCUCACAUUUUCGACUUCGUUUGCUAACACUAGAGCAGUGUUUGAAGUUCAGUUUUAACUUCUUUUUUCCACAAGAUAUAUCAAUUAAAUUCGGAUAAGGGUGAGUUUUACGAAACAGGACAGGUGAUCCGGUCAGAUUUUAUUGCUUGCCCUUUUGGCUUUUAUUUCAUUAAUCGCUUUAACUAAGGAACCCAAAUCGUUGUCUGAAGUUCCACCAUUGACUGCAUUCAGGGCUGCUUCACUUUAACAUCUUGGCUCCACUCCUCUCUCCUCUGCUCCCAUCGAGUGACUCCACCAACAAUCGAACUGCGAUUGAGUUAGCGGUGAGUAAGGUCAAGAAAAGGGAUGAAAUGGGCGGACGCCGGAAUUGGAUACACCAGAAUAUGUUGGCCGGCUGUGGACAUUGCUUUAGUGUUUUAGAGUUGAGAGUGUGAGAAUUGACGUUCAAAUUGUAGAGUAUAGAACCACUUUUAUGUGAUUG